AAAAAAGGACGGAGAGCAUGAGAAGCCACACAGGAAGCCCACACAUCCGAUGAACUGUCAAGUUCUAGGCCAAAACCGUCAUCAAAACAGGAUAUACCCACAGGAGAGGAAUUGCAGGGUCAUAGGAUAGGUCCAGAGGCCCCUAGGGGAAGGCUCUGGCCAGCCCUGACCCCCUACUGGAUGAACCUGGAUAGAUGUGGGACCCUGAGAUCCACCCAUGAUGUCACCCAAAGACCUACCAUCCCCAAAGUACAAAUGGUGACAGGGAUGUGGUCCUUUAAAAAUACAUCCACGUCACCCCAGCAUGCUUCACUUCAGACUGUAUCCAGAGACUUCAGGUGUGGAAUGACAACCCUUCAGCUUCAU